rnacentral:rRNA from 1 species
UACGGAGGGGACUAGCGUUGUCCGGAAUCAUUGGGCGUAAAGAGCGUGUAGGCGGUCCUGUAAGUCCGCUGUGAAAGUCAAGGGCUCAACCCUUGAAUGCCGGUGGAUACUGCAGGACUAGAGUCCGGAAGAGGCGAGUGGAAUUCCUGGUGUAGCGGUGAAAUGCGCAGAUAUCAGGAGGAACACCGAUGGCGAAAGCGGCUCUCUGGAACGGUACUGACGCUGAGACGCGAAAGCGUGGGGAGCGAACAGG